GGGAUUGCAUCUAUGGAUUUAACAUUCCAUCACUGACAGCUGUCUUAAGUGUCAUCUGAGGAUAAUCAAUCGUUCAUUGAAAAAACGUCAAAAAACGGAACCAUGGCGGGGCCACCGUCGACUAAAAUAUAAUGCGAAAUCCAAGAAAUUGAAGCAGAUUUAUCUAUGUCAGACAUAGAUCUCUCGGAGGACGACGACAUGACGACAUAAAUGACUCACCAUGAACCCGUAGAAUUUGAAUUUUGUGAUGAUGAUAUCCAGGAGCUGCUAGCUGAGCCUUUCAUUUUAUCUUAUUUUGUUCCUAUAUUGAUCCCAAUAAUUAUAAUAGUUGAUAAGUGUGAGUUUAUCUAGAAUAAAUAUAAGUUCUAAACUUAUGUGAGACUGAUUUAAAGUGUUAAAUGUG